UCCGUAGGUGGAUAAUUAAGUCAGAGGUGAAAUCCUGCAGCUCAACUGUAGAAUUGCCUUUGAUACUGGUUAUCUUGAGUCAUUAUGAAGUGGUUAGAAUGUGUAGUGUAGCGGUGAAAUGCAUAGAUAUUACACAGAAUACCGAUUGCGAAGGCAGAUCACUAAUAAUGUACUGACACUGAUGGACGAAAGCGUGGGGAGCGAACAGGAUUAGAUACUCUGGUAGUCC
rnacentral:rRNA from 1 species